AGGUGCUGCCACAACACCCAGCUAAUGUUUCUGUUUUCAGAAACAUUAGAGAUGGGUUCUUGCUCUUGCUCAAGUUUUUCUCUCCUAAGGUCAAAGGAUCCUCUCUCCUUGGCCACUAGAGUGCUAGGAUUACAGGCAUGAGCCACCAUGCCCAGCCUAUAGUUAUAUUCUCAGUAGUGAAUUAUUUGAUUAACCUCUGCCAUUCACCCAUGUUCACUGUGAGUGGGCAAGUUAUAGCUCAUUUGGAAAAAUUAACCCCCAAAAUUCUCUUUUACGGUCAGAUGCAUUGGGGAUCUCUGGAAUGGUGUAGGAGAACAUUUUGGAUUGGAGUCUGUAUUCAAGCAUGGUGCAGUGUGCUUUUCAUGCAUUACUUCUUCCAAUUCUAAUAAACAAACAAAGAAUAAAAACUGAGAAAUAAGCAUUGCUAUUAUCAUUCCUAUUUUACAAAUAAGGAAAGGGAGGCAGAGACCAUAUAGAUGGAUCUUUCUUUCUCCAAAGCACAGGCUUCUAUCUGUUAGGCAACAUUACCUCUCCGCUGUCCUUUAAGUCAAAACAGAAGGAUGCAGGACUGGAACAAGGUUAGCCACAUGCCAAGUCAUUCCACAGGAAUGAGAGGUGAUUUCAUAUAUACCUCUCAAACAUAGGUUUGUUGUUCCUAAUUGAUUGUCUCUCCACAGAGGAAUGAGAUUGUUUUCUUCUCUGUUCUACCUAACCACACCCUCCCCUAUGGAAUCACCUAAUUCCUAACAAGUUCUCUGGACAAGGUUCUUCUUGGAUGUGACCAGGAGCCAAGUUCUGCUGCAUGCACACUGCUGGGAAGGACCCCAUAUCCUAAACAGAACCAGUUAAGGCAAAUGCCAGCUGCUUUUGAAGGGGUGAGGAGUAUCUCCCACAGGGCAGUAAAGUAUAUAUGGAGUCCUGCACUUAAAGUACAAUUCCAAGUUCUGGCAAUGAUACUGACAAGUUGAAUGACGGUGGGCAGUCACUUAACUUCUCUGGCAUUUCAUUUACUUAACUAAUAAGGAGGAUGGGUGAUAUUGGAUGAGAGGAAUCCAUGGGGUUAUACUUGUAAUCUAUGUAACACUGUGGCUGGCACAUAGAAGGGGACUGAUUAAAUGUUUUGCACCUCUCAGUGUGCUGGCCUGUGGAAGGAGUGUGCAAAGCCAAAAAUUGAAAUAAAGCUUCUCUACGAAGAAAUUGAUUCACUUUCUAUAAACUUGUCUGUAUGCUGCCUGAUCAUUUUCACCUGGGCCUUGAAUUCUUUGGAAUUCUUGGGAAUUCUUUGGAAGUCAAUUUUUAUCACCAUGCACAUUCGACAUUUUUUUUCUGGAGAACUACCCCUGCGAUCAAUGAAAUAAAGAAAUGGCUCCAAGACUGGACAAGAAAAAAAUAAGAUUCUUUUUUGCUAUUGCAUCUAAUGUUAAGGAAAAGAAUUCAAGAGAUGAAAGAAGAGCCACAGCUAGCAGAGCUCAAGUGCAGACACCAAGAUAAUGUGCAUCUAUCUGCCUGACACUUGCAGAAUCCUUCAGCACCUAAAGCAGCUGAGGACUAAAAUACUGAAAGGAAGAUGGCAGACGGGACCUGGGAGGCUGCCUGCUGGAGGUGCAGGACCAGCCAACAUGCCAAAUCUCACAUUCAGAGGCCAUGGACCACUUUCUGCCCUAGUCCUGGGCUCUGAGACUCAGAGGCCAUCUCCAACUGGGCCAUUCAGUACUGUGAUCUGAUGAUCUGACAGAAUAAACAGACUCUACACCGUGUUCAUCUUUUUUCACCUUGAGCCAACAGAGAAUCAUGUCAUCGGUAGUGGUGCAGGGCCUGGAGCACCAGGAUAAAGCUGGCCGAGGACACAGUGCUGCUCUCAGGUUCCAAGGUAACACAUUUGGGGGCAUCUCAUCCCCAUCAUGGGGAGGAGGAAGGAGGCUGGUUAUAGAGGUCAGAAAUUCCUGGUUUGUGACCUGCCUGCAACCCUGGCCAUGUGUCCAGCUCUGUGAAGGAUGAGACCUGGCCCUGCCUAGGAGGACUUCACAUGUCACAGAAGAAAGACACAUGGCACCCAUAGCACACAGGUUGUGGUCAUCUCUGGGGAUGAACAGGGGGCUUUGGGGGAGAACAAAGAAGCAAGAAGCUUUCUGGGGUUGCUGAGUUUAGGGGGAGCAGGACACCUGUUCCUGCAGAGCUUCAACCUGCACCGAACCUGAAGGAGCCUGGAGGCUGCAUGAGGGCCACUCAGAGAAGCUGCCGGGAGCUCAGUGGCACUGGGUAUGUGGAGAUAGAUAGGUUGAUUUCUGAUAGGGCCAAACCCUGCCCAAAUAGGGUGGGCCCACCUAAAAGAAUCAAACUCUACCCUUUCUCACUGGAUAUCCCACCUAGAAAAGGUAAAUGGGCCAACCCCCACCCUUCCAACAGAUGUCCAACCAGGAAAAGGAAUGUCCCGACCCCACUUUCCGACCUUUAAAACCCCCAUCUGCCAUUACCCACAUGUGCAUUUCUUCCCAGUUGGAGAUCUCACCCCACCUGUACCCAGGUGGAAUAAAACCAUUUUAAUUACACAAACCAGGACUCCAUUUCAUCCCAUGCCUCAGAAUAAUCUUUCAUCUUUGGCUCUAUAACCUUCCAGACUUCUCAGCAGGGCACCUUGCCUCAAUCCAGGGGUAUCCAGGGGAAAGAGUUCACACCAGUGCAUCCCUGGAAGCUCACACCAGUGCAUCCCUGGAAGCUCAUUAAGACCAUGGAAGAUGGAAGGAGCCUGGAGGCACCCAGACAGGAUUAUCCUUGUGGGCUGAGACUCAGCAGGUGGGAUGGUACUGAGAUAGAGCCAAGUUCUCUGACUCCUGAUGUGCAGUUAGAUUAGAGAACCUGGCUUACUUCCCCUGCAGGGAUAGAACUGGUUUCCCCUCCCCCUCUCUAAAUAUGCCGUGGGCCAUUUGUUGGCAGCCCUCUGCCUUUUGCCUGGCCUCUCUCUAUAAUCCAAUCUUCCUGCAGACUUGAGAUUCUGUUAACACUAUCUUUUGGCAUUUUUACAUUUUGCAUGUGUCCUUUUGUUAGAAAUCAAUAAAAGCCUUCUUAAGAAGUCAGAGAAUUCCCACAUUGUCCCAGUCUGCUGCUCGGCCUGAGAUAAUGUACGGCUUUCUCCAGGCAUUCUCAGGCUCUGUGUUUUAAACUGGCACAGAUUAUUUUUCCUCAGCAUUGUUUCCUAGUCAACUUUCAAGCCAG